CCUACGGGUGGUAGCAGUGGGGAAUAUUGCACAAUGGGGGCAACCCUGAUGCAGCGACGCCGCGUGAGUGAAGAAGUAUCUCGGUAUGUAAAGCUCUUUCAGCAGGGAAGAAGAUGACGGUACCUGACUAAGAUGCUCCGGCUAACUACGUGCCAGCAUCCGCGGCAAUAUGGCGGCGGCAAGCGUUAUCCGGAUUUACUGGGUGUAAAGGGAGCGUAGACGGUAGGGCAAGUCUGGGGUGAAAGCCCGGGGCCCAACCGCGGGAUUGCAUUGGAAACUGUCAUGCUAGAGGACAGGAGAGGUAGGCGGAAUUCCUAGUGUAGCGGUGAAAUGCGUAGAUAUUAGGAGGAACACCAGUGGCGAAGGCGGCUUACUGGACAGUAACUGACGUUGAGGCUCGAAAGCGUGGGGAGCAAACAGGAUUAGAUACCCGAGUAGUC
rnacentral:rRNA from 1 species